rnacentral:rRNA from 1 species
GAUGAACGCUAGCGGCAGGCCUAAUACAUGCAAGUCGGGCGGGAUUAAGGAGCUUGCUUCUGAUUUGAGCGGCGCACGGGUGCGUAACACGUAUGUAACCUACCUUUAUCAGGGGGUUACGCCCGCGAAAGGGCGCUUAUACCCGCAUAGAAUUGCAGCACAACAUUGGGGAACUAUCGACUUUUUACUGUAAAAAGAUGCGCAUGCGGAACAUUAGCUUGAUGGCGGGGUAACCGCCCAACAAGGCGACGAAGAUUUGGGGAGCGGAGAGGAUGGCCCCCCAGAACUGUACUGCGGCACGGACCAGAAUCGUACGGGAGGCAGCAGAAAGGAAUAUUAGGCAAGGGGCGGAAGCCUGAACCAGCCAUGCCGGGUGAAGAAAGACGGCGAUACGGGUUGUAAACUGCUUUUAUACGGGAAUAAACCCAGAUACGUGUAUCUGGCUGAAUGUACUGUAAGAAUAAGGAUCGGCUAACUCCGUG